rnacentral:rRNA from 1 species
AGUGAACGCUGGCGGUAGGCCUAACACAUGCAAGUCGAACGGCAGCACAGCAGUAGCAAUACUGUGGGUGGCGAGUGGCGGACGGGUGAGGAAUACAUCGGAAUCUACCUUUUCGUGGGGGAUAACGUAGGGAAACUUACGCUAAUACCGCAUACGACCUUAGGGUGAAAGUAGGGAGUCGCAAGACCUUACGCGGAUAGAUGAGCCGAUGUCGGA